UACGUAGGGGGGCAAGCGUUGUUCGGAAUUACUGGGCGUAAAGGGCUCGUAGGCGGCCAACUAAGUCAGACGUGAAAUCCCCAGGCUUAACCUGGGAACUGCGUCUGAUACUGGAUGGCUUGAGAUUGGGAGAGGGAUGCGGAAUUCCAGGUGUAGCGGUGAAAUGCGUAGAUAUCUGGAGGAACACCGGUGGCGAAGGCAGCCUCCUGGGCCAACACUGACGCUCAUGCACGAAAGCGUGGGGAGCAAACAGG
rnacentral:rRNA from 1 species